AGACGGUUUGUGGUACAAAGUACAGUAGUAACGUAGCCCACACGAGUUUGGUGCCUCCGUCCGGAGGAAUUUGGCGUUUGGGACCAUUUCCCGACAGCCUCUGCGCUGUUGUCCUUCGGAGAAGGCACUGCUGUAGCCAGAGCCAUUAUGGCUCUGGCCGUAGCUGGUUGAUACUCUGUUUCCUGACUCCACGGCAUCAUGGCGGCCCUCAGACCUCUAAUUAAGCCGAAGAUCGUAAAGAAAAGGACGAAGAAGUUCAUCUGACAUCAGGCAGAUCCUUAUGUCAAAAUAAAGCACCUUGGUCCAUGAGGAACGAUAUUUCGUUCCCGUAUACUGUGUAUAGGCUAAACAAACUUGGAACUUGAAAGCAAGAAGACCGAAGCACAUGCUUUCUUCUGGUUUCAGAAAGUUUCUUGUGCACAACAUCAAAGAGCUGGAGGUUCUUCUGAUGAGCAACAGGAGGCACUGCGCAGAAAUUGCUCACAAUGUUUCUUCUAAGAACAGGAAGCAGAUUGUGGGGAGGGCGGCACAGCUGGCCAUCAAAAUCACCAACCCCAAUGCCAGACUGCGCAGUAAAGACAGCGAGUGAUCAUUCCCUCCUCUGUACAGUGUAAUUAUUUUUUUAUA